GAGUUUGAUCCUGGCUCAGGAUGAACGCUGACAGAAUGCUUAACACAUGCAAGUCGACUCGAGUCUUCGGACUUGGGUGGCGCACGGGUGAGUAACGCGUAAAGAACUUGCCUCUUAGACCGGGACAACAUCUGGAAACGGAUGCUAAUACCGGAUAUUAUGGUUUUUUCGCAUGGAGGAAUCAUGAAAGCUAGAUGCGCUAAGAGAGAGCUUUGCGUCCCAUUAGCUAGUUGGUGAGGUAACGGCCCACCAAGGCAAUGAUGGGUAGCCGGCCUGAGAGGGUGAACGGCCACAAGGGGACUGAGACACGGCCCUUACUCCUACGGGAGGCAGCAGUGGGGAAUAUUGGACAAUGGACCGCAAGUCUGAUCCAGCAAUUCUGUGUGCACGAUGACGUUUUUCGGAAUGUAAAGUGCUUUCAGUCGGGAAGAAGU
rnacentral:rRNA from 1 species